rnacentral:rRNA from 1 species
AGUCGGAAUUGCUGUAAUCGCAGAUCAGCAUGCUGCGGUGAAUACGUUCCCGGGCCUUGUACACACCGCCCGUCACACCAUGGGAGUCGGUAACACCCGAAGCCUGUAGUCUAACCGCAAGGAGGACGCAGUCGAAGGUGGGAUUGAUGACUGGGGUGAAGUCGUAACAAGGUACC